rnacentral:piRNA from 1 species
UCAAUCGAGUUUGAAAUGCAC